rnacentral:RNase_P_RNA from 1 species
UGAGUAAAUCAGACAAUCGCGGGUGCAGUUUAACUGUACACGAGGAAAGUCCGAGCUCCAUAGAGCAGGAUGCUGGGUAACACCCAGUGGGGGCGACCCUAAGGAUAGUGCAACAGAGAUAUACCGCCAGACCCCUUGUUCAGUAGCAAUACUGAUACUUGUGGUGAGAAUAGCUUUUGAGCUAUCUGGUAAGGCUGGAAAGGUGAGGUAAGAGCUCACCAGUGGCUAGGUGACUAGUCAGCUAUGUAAACCCCAUCCGGAGCAAGACCAAGUAGGGACAAGAAAAUACGGCUGCUCGUCGUAUCCCAAUGGUAGGUCGCUUGAGCCGACUGGCAACUUUCGGCCUAGAUAGAUGAUUGUCUAAUACAAAACUCGGCUUAUAGAUUU